rnacentral:rRNA from 1 species
ACAAUAAGCAAAAUAAGGGCGUAUGGGGGAUGCCUAGGCUCUCAGAGGCGAAGAAGGACGUGAUAAGCUGCGAAAAGCUGCGGGGAUUGGCACAUACGAAUUGAUCCGCAGAUAUCCCAAUGGGGCAACCCACUAUGUUGAAGACAUAGUAUCCAAUAGGAGGCGAACCCGCUGAACUGAAACAUCUAAGUAGGCGGAGGAGAAGAAAACAAAAGUGAUUGCGUAAGUAGUGGCGAGCGAAAGCGCAUUAGCCCAAACCAGUGUUGUUACGGCAAUACUGGGGUUGUAGGACCACAAUAUUUCUUGUAAACCGAAUUAGAAUAACCUGGAAAGGUUAACCACAGAGGGUGAUAGUCCCGUAUAAGUAAGGAAUAUAAAGGAUAGUGGUAUCCUGAGUAGGGCGGGGCACGUGAAACCCUGUCUGAAUCUGGCGGGACCAUCCGCUAAGGCUAAAUACUCCUGAGAGACCGAUAGUGAACCAGUACUGUGAAGGAAAGGUGAAAAGAACCGUGAAUAACGGAGUGAAAUAGAACCUGAAACCAUACGCCUACAAGCGGUCGGAGCAGCAAAAGCUGUGACGGCGUGCCUUUUGCAUAAUGAGCCUACGAGUUAACGUUGCUGGCAAGGUUAAGCACUUCAGGUGCGGAUCCGUAGCGAAAGCGAGUCUGAAUAGGGCGCUUGAGUCAGUAAUGUUAGACGCGAAACCGUGUGAUCUACCCAUGGGCAGGAUGAAGCUGUGGUAACACAUAGUGGAGGUCCGAACCGGUUGACGUUGAAAAGUCUUCGGAUGACCUGUGGGUAGGGGUGAAAGGCCAAUCAAACUCGGAAAUAGCUCGUACUCCCCGAAAUGCAUUUAGGUGCAGCGCAGUGGUAGAGUUAUAUAGAGGUAGAGCUACUGAUUGGAUGCGGGGGCUUCACCGCCUACCAAUUCCUGACAAACUCCGAAUGCUAUAUAAUAUACACAGCAGUGAGGGCUGGGGUGCUAAGGUCCCAGUCCGAGAGGGAAAGAACCCAGACCAUCAGCUAAGGUCCCCAAAUGUAUACUAAGUUGAUCAAACGCGGUUUGAUUGCAUCGACAGCUAGGAUGUUGGCUUGGAAGCAGCCAUUCAUUUAAAGAGUGCGUAACAGCUCACUAGUCGAGCGAUCGAGCAUGGAUAAUAAUCGGGCAUAAGUAUACUACCGAAGCUAUGGAUUUGACAAAAGUCAAGUGGUAGGGGAGCAUUCUAACAUCGUAGAAGGGAUUCCGUGAGGAUUUCUGGAGAGGUUAGAAAAGAAAAUGUAGGCACCCGUAMAACUAAGGUUUCCGCAGCUAUGCUAAUCAGCUGCGGGUUAGUCGGGACCUAAGGCGAAUCCGAAAGGAACAGUCGAUGGCCAACGGGUUAAUAUUCCCGUACUACUUAUAAUUGUGAUGGAGUGACGCAGUGGUGAAAGUACCGCGAACUGACGGAAUAGUUCGUUAAAGCACCUAGCUAUAGGCCCGGUAGGCAAAUCCGCUGGGACUGGUGAAAUGCGAUAGUACUCGGAUUCUUCGGAUGAUGGGAUAGUGUACCUAAAGGCUGCCAAGAAAACCUUCUAAACAUAGAUUAUAAGUACCCGUACCGUAAACCGACACAGGUAGUUGAGGAGAGUAUCCUAAGGCGCUCGAGAGAUUCAUGGCUAAGGAAUUAGGCAAAAUAGACCUGUAACUUCGGGAGAAAGGUCGCCAGCGCAAGCUGGCCGCAGUGAAAAGGUCCAGGCGACUGUUUAUCAAAAACACAGGGCUCUGCCAAAUCGUAAGAUGAAGUAUAGGGCCUGACACCUGCCCGGUGCUGGAAGGUUAAGAGGAGAUGUUAUGAGCAAUCAGAAGCAUUGAAUUGAAGCCCCAGUAACGGCGGCCGUAACUAUAACGGUCCUAAGGUAGCGAAAUUCCUUGUCGGGUAAGUUCCGACCUGCACGAAUGGUGUAACGAUCUGGACACUGUCUCAGCCAUGAGCUCGGUGAAAUUGUAGUAUCGGUGAAGAUGCCGAUUACCCGCAGUGGGACGAAAAGACCCUGUGCACCUUUACUAUAGCUUAGUAUUGACCUUGGAUAAGUGAUGUGUAGGAUAGGUGGGAGACUGUGAAAUGGCGUCGCUAGGCGUUGUGGAGUCAUUGUUGAAAUACCACCCUUUGCUUAUCUGAGGCCUAACUMCCAUAUUGUGGAGGACAUUGCUUGGUGGGUAGUUUGACUGGGGUGGUCGCCUCCAAAAGAGUAACGGAGGCUUCUAAAGGUUCCCUCAGCACGCUUGGUAACCGUGCGUAGAGUGCAAUGGCAUAAGGGAGCUUGACUGAGAGACAUACAGGUCGAUCAGGUACGAAAGUAGAGCAUAGUGAUCCGGUGGUUCCGCAUGGAAGGGCCAUCGCUCAAAGGAUAAAAGGUACGCCGGGGAUAACAGGCUGAUCUCCCCCAAGAGCUCAUAUCGACGGGGGGGUUUGGCACCUCGAUGUCGGCUCGUCACAUCCUGGGGCUGGAGAAGGUCCCAAGGGUUGGGCUGUUCGCCCAUUAAAGUGGCACGCGAGCUGGGUUCAGAACGUCGUGAGACAGUUCGGUCUCUAUCUACUGUGGGCGUUAGAAAUUUGAGUGGAUCUGACUCUAGUACGAGAGGACCGAGUUGGACCAACCGCUGGUGUAUCUGUUGUUCCGCCAGGAGCACCGCAGAGUAGCUACGUUGGGAAGGGAUAAGCGCUGAAAGCAUAUAAGCGCGAAACCCACCACAAGAUGAGAUUUCUUUUAAGGGUCGUGGAAGAUGACCACGUUGAUAGGCUAUAGAUGUAAAGGCAGUAAUGUCACAGGUCAAGUAGUACUAAUAACCCGUAAGCUUAUUGUA